rfam:Triticum aestivum genome assembly, contig: Triticum_aestivum_CS42_TGACv1_scaffold_097634_2AL
CUUAUACUCCCUCCGUCCCGAAUUACUUGUCGCAGGUAUGGAUAUAUCUAGAUGUAUUUUAGUUAUAAAUAAAUCAAUUUCUAUCCAUUUCUGCGACGAGUAAUUUGGGACGGAGGGAGUAGUUA